rnacentral:rRNA from 1 species
AGCAGCCGCGGUAAUUCCAGCUCCAAUAGCGUAUAUUAAAGUUGUUGCAGUUAAAAAGCUCGUAGUUGAAUUUCGGGGUCAGUAGGUUGGUCGUGCCACUGGUAUGUACUGGCCUCACUGAUUCCUCCUUCUUGUAGAACCGUAAUGCCAUUAAUUUGGUGUUGCGGGGAAACAGGACUGUUACUUUGAAAAAAUUAGAGUGUUUAAAGCAGGCUAACGCUUGAAUACAUUAGCAUGGAAUAAUGAAAUAGGACGUUCGAUCCUAUUUUGUUGGUUUCUAGGAUUGACGUAAUGAUUAAUAGGGAUAGUUGGGGGCAUUAGUAUUCAAUUGUCAGAGGUGAAAUUCUUGGAUUUAUUGAAGACUAACUACUGCGAAAGCAUUUGCCAAGGAUGUUUCCAUUAAUCAAGAACGAAAGUUAGGGGAUCGAAGACGAUCAGAUACCGUCGUAGUCUUAACCAUAAACUAUGCCGACUAGGGAUCGGAUGAUGUAAUUUUUAAUGACUCAUUCGGCGCCUUACG